UCAAUUUCAUUCAAACUAAUUGAAACUUGAUUUCAGGUGGCAUCAACAUAGAGCAUAGAUUAGGGCAAUUAUGUAAAUAUGGUAAGCAUACAUAGUGACAGUAAAGAGUGUGGUCCUAGCUAUUAUAGUAUGACAAGCUGUCUUGAUUGCAAUUUUUUCAUGGGUCCAAGUUUUUUCACUGCAUUUCUUUUCUUAACAUUUCCACCUACUCUUCCUUCAUAUUAUAAAUGGGCAAAACAUCAUCUUCUUCAUUUCUACCCCCCUACAUCUCUCUCUAACAGACACACAUUUCCCUUCAUCUCCUCCCGAGAAUGACAACAAGUUCGGGUGCGUUGGAACAAGAUGGAGAAGCAGGGCACGUGCAUUACUAACUUAUGCACAAAUCUUCAGUUAGUGUUUCAUGUGCCCUUUUUCCCCAUCUUGACCACUCAACCCUUUCAGAUGGAAGCAGUACAAGAUUACAUUUCAGAAGAAACUAAUCUUCACUUUCUGAUUCAUAGUCAGGUUAACUAUGAUGGACGAAAGGGAGCCAAGCUUGGCCUAGGGGAUAUAAGGAGAGCUGUGAUUCACCUUGAUUUUGGUUUUUUCUGUUUGUUUUUUUUCUUCAUCAAUUUGAUUAACUUGUGACAAUCAAUGUCAUAAAUUGGUUUGUAUCAACUCUUUGGUGUUUUUCACAAUGUCACGAUCUUCACGACAGAGUGACUAAUGAAAAGUUAUAGCUUUUCAAAAUUUAUUCAAUAAAAAGGUUCAUCCUAUCACCCAAACAAGCAGUGUCAAAAGCAAAGUAUUUUAAAAAACGCAUUAUGCAUUGUCCAACAUUGUGGGUCAAGAGGAAAUGAUUUGCAAGGAAGCAGUUAUACAGGAUGAAAAGAGGAGUGGAUGAAAAAUAUUGGAUGAAAGAACUUGGAAUUCUAAGUUCAAACCUCAAGCCAAGCUUAUGAGGGAAUGACAAAGAUGAGCAAAUAAAACUUUUCUAGAUAUGUUUAUCUUUUACAUUUUACCAUUAGGAUUUAAUAAUGCAUUAGGUCCCAUUCCAAGUGAACUCAUAUUAGGAUAGAAGUAACAUUUUUCACCAGGCACUUGCCUUUUGCUAUUCUACCAUAACAAGCUGUACUCUGUACAACCCACCCUUGGGUAGCUCAGUAACAAGAAGUUUGGAC